rnacentral:lncRNA from 10 species
CAGGGAUGGCCGGCCCAGGAGGGAGGAGGACGACGUCCCUCCCGGGGAGAAGAGGCUGCGGCUGUUGCUGGAGGGGGGAAGAGCACAGCCCUAGGACUGCGAGGACGGGGAGGACGCGCCGCGGCCGGGCAGGGAGGAGACCGGCACCCAGACAGGUGGCGACGGCAGAGGAUGAUGUUUUGUUCUGGGGUGCAUCACAAGAGACAAGGUUCUUGGCCGGGCGUGGUGGCUCAAGCCAAUAAUCCCAGCACUUUGAGAGGCCGAAGGGGGAGGAUCGCUUGAGCCCAGGAGUUUAAGACCAGCCUGGGCAACGUGGUGAAGCCUCAUAUCUACCAAAAAAAAAAGAAAGCCAGGUAUGGUGGUGUGUGCCUGUAGUCCCAAGUACUUUGGAGGCUGAGGUGGGAGGAUUGCUAGAGCCUAGAAGGUCGGGCUGCAGUGAGCUGGGAUCAUGCCACUGCACUCCAGUGUAGGUGACAAAGUGAGACCCUGUUUCAAGGAAAAGAGAGAGAGAGAGACAGACCCACAAGUGUUUUAAGCCAGAAUCUCCAUGUUAAAAUGCUUUCUGGAGGCUAAAAGGAUGACAUAUUGAUAAUGAAAUAUUUAAAAGGCAGAAACCCCACUGAAUUUCUUGGUCCACCGAGGGAAAUGGGAAUCGCAUGACCUGAAGGAUGAUGCAGGAACUGAACAGAAACCAUCCUUGUUUCCUGAAUCUGAAUGUGGCACCCUCUUUUCACGGUGUCUGUAUCUGCUCAGUCUGGCAGCCCCUCGAAAAGAGGGAAUCUUGAUUUUCAAACUUAAAAUUUGUCCCAAAGCCCACUGCUGCCCACAAUGCCCGCCACACCCAUUCCUCUUCCCUUUUAGUUUCUAUGGGAAUACUCUCUUUGAAGAACCCAAGAAGCAGUGUCAGGCUGGUGUGAGGACCAGCAGUGAUUUCUUUGAGGAGGAGAGCCCGUUUCUUCACUCACAGGCCAUGUCUGAGUGGAUCAAGAAGAACAGAGUGCCCUUUUAUGAGAUUUUGUCUGCGUAGACCAUUAGCUUGGUAAAAAUGUCAAAACCAUCCUCGUUCUUUAAUAGCAGAUUAUUUUGGACUUUUCUCUGCAAGAAGCAGCAU